rnacentral:rRNA from 1 species
AAAGCCCUCCCCGAAGGAAGGGCACUCGGGCUCCCCUCGUCGCGCUUUCGCGCAUUGCGAAGGUU